rnacentral:rRNA from 1 species
CCUACGGGAGGCUGCAGUGAGGAAUCUUGGUCAAUGGACGAGAGUCUGAACGAGCCAAGUAGCGUGAAGGAUGACUGCCCUAUGGGUUGUAAACUUCUUUUAUAUGGGAAUAAAAUGUUCCACGUGUGGGAUUUUGUAUGUACCAUAUGAAUAAGGAUCGUCUAACUCCGUGCCAGCAGCCGCGGUAAUACGGAGGAUCCGAGCGUUAUCCGGAUUUAUUGGGUUUAAAGGGAGCGUAGGUGGAUUGUUAAGUCAGUUGUGAAAGUUUGCGGCUCAACCGUAAAAUUGCAGUUGAAACUGGCAGUCUUGAGUACAGUAGAGGUGGGCGGAAGUCGUGGUGUAGCGGUGAAAUGCUUAGAUAUCAGGAAGAACUCCGAUUGCGAAGGCAGCUCACUGGACUGCAACUGACACUGAGGCUCGAAAGUGUGGGUAGCAAACAGGAUUAGAUACCCGUGUAGUC